UUAACCAAGGGUGGCCUGGCGUGAGAGGUCCCCGCCCCCUGCUGGCUCCUGACUGUUUUAAACCAGCUUUCCUUUUAUUAAUUUUCUUCGGGGUCAAUGAGAGAGAGGCCUUGCCGAGAGGGGUGUAAGUCUCUACCUGCUAAACGCAAGAGGAGCUGACCACCACCAGGUUAAGAAAAAAAUACACAUAUAUUACAAGAUGGGUGCCGUCAUGAUUGAAGAGUUUACAUCCAAAGUGGUUCUGAUCGGCUGAUUGUUUCUCCUGCUGCUGCCCAGGUGGUAGACAUGACCCACAAUCAGGAUUCUCGAAGGUGAUGGAGAUAAAAGGAAAAUCUGCCCUCUCAGAGGAUAAUCAUAUAAAUGAAGAAAGAGUUAUAUCAGAGGUGGUGGACAUUUGGAUUAUUUCCAGUCUGGGGCUAUUGUGAAUAAAGCUACCAUGAACAUCUGAGUAUAAAUCUUUGAGCGGACAGAUAUUUUCAUCACAUCUCUUGGGUAAAUAUCUAGCAUUGAGAUCAUUGGGAUGUAUGGGAAGUGUAUUUUA